rnacentral:rRNA from 1 species
GGCUCAGGAUGAACGCUGGCGGCGUGCCUAAUACAUGCAAGUCGAGCGAACGGACGAGAAGCUUGCUUCUCUGAUGUUAGCGGCGGACGGGUGAGUAACACGUGGAUAACCUACCUAUAAGACUGGGAUAACUUCGGGAAACCGGAGCUAAUACCGGAUAAUAUUUUGAACCGCAUGGUUCAAAAGUGAAAGACGGUCUUGCUGUCACUUAUAGAUGGAUCCGCGCUGCAUUAGCUAGUUGGUAAGGUAACGGCUUACCAAGGCAACGAUGCAUAGCCGACCUGAGAGGGUGAUCGGCCACACUGGAACUGAGACACGGUCCAGACUCCUACGGGAGGCAGCAGUAGGGAAUCUUCCGCAAUGGGCGAAAGCCUGACGGAGCAACGCCGCGUGAGUGAUGAAGGUCUUCGGAUCGUAAAACUCUGUUAUUAGGGAAGAACAUAUGUGUAAGUAACUGUGCACAUCUUGACGGUACCUAAUCAGAAAGCCACGGCUAACUACGUGCCAGCAGCCGCGGUAAUACGUAGGUGGCAAGCGUUAUCCGGAAUUAUUGGGCGUAAAGCGCGCGUAGGCGGUUUUUUAAGUCUGAUGUGAAAGCCCACGGCUCAACCGUGGAGGGUCAUUGGAAACUGGAAAACUUGAGUGCAGAAGAGGAAAGUGGAAUUCCAUGUGUAGCGGUGAAAUGCGCAGAGAUAUGGAGGAACACCAGUGGCGAAGGCGACUUUCUGGUCUGUAA